rnacentral:rRNA from 1 species
UACGUAGGGUGCGAGCGUUGUCCGGAAUUAUUGGGCGUAAAGAGCUUGUAGGUGGUUUGUCGCGUCUGCUGUGAAAAUCCGAGGCUCAACCUCGGACUUGCAGUGGGUACGGGCAGACUAGAGUGUGGUAGGGGAGACUGGAAUUCCUGGUGUAGCGGUGGAAUGCGCAGAUAUCAGGAGGAACACCGGUGGCGAAGGCGGAUCUCUGGGCCUUACCUGACGCUGAGGCGCGAAAGCUAGGGGAGCAAACAGG